rnacentral:SRP_RNA from 1 species
CGUCAGGGGCUAUGGAUUGAGGGCUGACGAACCCCGCCAGGGCAGGAAUGCAGCAACGGUAGUUUGAUCCUCCUUGCCGUAGUCUCUGGCGGAC